UUGUGACUAGAAGAAGAGGAAGCUCCAUACUCAGGGGCUCCAGAACACUAGAGUCACAGUCCUGAGACACAUACCUGGAGGCUGCCCUGCAUGUGGACUUCGAGGGAAGAGUGAAUAUAAGUGUGGCCUGAGUGAAAAGGAGAUUCAGACACGUCUGUAAGCUGGUGAGGCCGGGCAUCGGAAACCCUAUUUACACGACUCUGAGGAGCCUCCUGAGAAGCCAAGCUCUGUGCCGAUGGGAUCAGACACCACUGAACAUGUCCACGGUGCUUGGGGGCUUGGACAACAGCAGUCCGACACUGAGACACCUGCAGGCGCG
rnacentral:lncRNA from 1 species